rnacentral:rRNA from 1 species
AGAGUUUGAUCCUGGCUCAGGAUGAACGCUAGCGAUAGGCCUUACACAUGCAAGUCGAGGGGCAGCACAAGGAAAGUAGCAAUACUUUUUUGGUGGCGACCGGCGCACGGGUGAGUAACGCGUAUGCAACCUACCUACUACUUUGGGAUAGCUCGUUGAAAGACGAAUUAAUACCUUAUAAUACAGGGACUCCGCAUGGAGAUAUUUGUUAAAGAUUUAUUGGUAGUAGAUGGGCAUGCGUUCCAUUAGCUUGUUGGUGAGGUAACUGCUCACCAAGGCAUCGAUGGAUAGGGGAACUGAGAGGUUUGUCCCCCACACUGGAACUGAGACACGGUCCAGACUCCUACGGGAGGCAGCAGUGAGGAAUAUUGGUCAAUGGAGGCAACUCUGAACCAGCCAAGUCGCGUGAAGGAUGACGGCCCUACGGGUUGUAAACUUCUUUUUUAAGGGAAUAAAGUGAGCCACGUGUGGCUUUUUGCAAGUACCUUACGAAUAAGGAUCGGCUAACUACGUGCCAGCAGCCGCGGUAAUACGUAGGUGACAAGCGUUGUCCGGAAUUAUUGGGCGUAAAGGGAGCGCGGGCGGUUGGAAUAGUCUGAUGUGAAAGCCCACGGCUUAACCGUGGAAGGUCAUUGGAAACUGUCCAACUUGAAUGCAGAAGAGGUAAGUGGAAUUCCAUGUGUAGCGGUGAAAUGCGUAGAUAUAUGGAGGAACACCAGUGGCGAAGGCGACUUACUGGUCUGUGAUUGACGCUG